GGAGCCUGAAGGAAAGCAGAAGUAGGCCAGGACUGGCAGCUGCUACCCUGCCCCAGAAGCAAGUAGGGAAGCUGGCUACGGAUUGUAAAUAUACUGUAAUCAAGCCUGGUGAUGGUGAAGAUGACCUGGAUUGGUUGUGAUAUUGCCUGGUGUCAGCAAGAUCGCCGAUUACCAUCUUAAUAACCACAGGCAUUUGAAUGUCAGGCAUUUGAUUCCAGCUGCUAUGAUCUUUCGUACAACUGUGAGCAACAUUCCCCUGGAAAGGAAAUGGUGAUUUCAGAAAAGACAUGCCUCUCCAGGGAGGACUUGGUGACCAGACUAAAGUCAUGAUCUCACAGACAUCAAUUAAACAAUACUGUUUAGCACUGGCAUAGCACUUUUCAAGAACAAGAACUAAUAUAGCGGAAUUGGCUGGAAGAAAUGUGAUCAAAACCACACUGCUAGUUAGAAACUUAAUGGAUUGUGGAAACAAUUGUUGGAAGAAAAAAAAAGGCACAUCAAGAGAAUGAAUCCUGAAUAUAAACCUUCAAAAAGAUUUGGAGUAUGUCUAAUUGGUUGCUUCCGUAAUUUUGUGAUAGCUUCUUUUGAGCAACAUUUCCCAAAGUAAAGGACUGUGGAGAGAGAGGCAUUGUUUCAAGCUCACUGCAAACUCAGACAGACAUCUCUGCAUUGGAUACAGCCAGUUCCAGGUCUUGGUGGCCCUUGUGCAUCAGCGAAGAACACCAUUCGUUCCCGGAGUGAAAAGAAAAGAAGAAGACACGUUACCAUCUUACCUGUCCUGCACCUGGAGAACGUCACCAUCCGGAGAGUUCCUGGUCCACUUCUCCUGUCCUGACAUCCAUCAAGGGACUCUCCAGUGUUCCUCCUCCACGGGUUUCAAUUACCUACAGAGUAGAGGUCCUGGACUUCACCCCCACCACUGGCGUGCUGGGAACUGAGUGAGAAAGCAAUAAGGUUUCUAAGUUGGGGGUCAUAUUUCUUGAAUGCCAGGGUGGGUUUAGUUUCAUUCUUGGGCCUGAGCUUCAUGCUCGCAGGGAAGAACUGCUGUGUCACUGGGUUUGUUUGUUAUAGCUUUUAGUCAUUUACAUUUACGCCUUCCCUAUCUGUGUAAUUCUAUCCCCUAAUACAUUACCUGUUUGUUUUGAACCUUA